UUACCACCGAGCGGCGGGUAG
rnacentral:snRNA from 1 species